rnacentral:misc_RNA from 1 species
ACCGAUAAAACUUAAAUGGCAAAAACUGUAUUAAUAAGAUGGCAAACUGUAUGCCAACAUAUUCCUAAUCACUCUCCAUAAUUUUGAAUUUCAGAAGGAUAUGACCAAUUUACGUAUUAUAACUCUUUAAUUUGUUUCUUUGUCGAAAAAGGGGAAUUUAUGAGCAUCUUUUACUUCUGACAAAAUCACGAUGUCUUAGUAAAUGCAAUAAAGUUUAUUUUAAAAUCCAUGCUAAUCAUGAGUCCUGCUCAGAAAGGAAGAACAGGUAGACUGCCAGCUGUUGUGCUCAUAAUUGUUUUAAUGUUUGUAGAAGAAGGGUUACUUACAACUACUGAAACGCACGGACCAAAGUUUCUUGUGGAGCCUCUCCAGUUGAUAGAAUUUUCGAACGACAUAGGGGGUUCAGCACAUUGUGCUGCUACAGGUUAUCCACCUCCUCGUAUAUUGUGGAUAACAAACAAUGGAAAAGAAGUGACUCACGUUCCAGGUCUCCGACAUGUUCUGCCUAAUGGUACUUUACAUUUCCCGCCAUUUCCUCCAGAAUCCUACAGACAGGAUAUUCACGAUGCUUUAUAUCAGUGUACAGCAAGUAAUGUCAUCGGAUCGAUUCUUAGCGCAUCAGUUGAUAUAAGCGCUGUUGUCAAAAAGCCCUAUGAAGCACAGGUAUACGACGAGUUCGUGAUACUUGGAAAUACUGGAGUAUUCAAAUGUCACAUACCUAGCUUUGUAAAGGACUAUGUAACUGUUACUUCGUGGAUUAAGGACUCCAACACACGCAUUACUUCAACAGCGAAAGUUGGAGGAAGAUAUAGUACAUUCUCCAACGGAGUCCUUCACAUUCGUGAUGUUCGAGCUUCCGAUGCCUACAGUAGCUAUCAGUGUGUGACCACGAACAGAUUAACGGGAGAAUCGAAGACUAGUAAUUUGGUUGGUAGAUUAAUUCUUAAAGAACACCAGGCUAGUAUUACUCCUAGAAUUACAGACAGUACUCAUGUAGUUACUGCUAAAGAAGGAGAAUUUGUAGAGCUGCCUUGUGCCGCACAAGGUUUCCCUGUCCCAGAAUACAAAUGGUUUAAAAACUUCAAUGGAACGUAUAUUCCCGUAAUAGUUGGAAAUCACAUUCAACAAUUAAGUGGAUCCCUGAUUAUUGAUAGAGUGAUUCCUGCUGAUGCUGGGAAGUUUUUGUGUUCAGUGACCAGUGAUAUAGGUGAAACCGAACGUGAAACAACACUUGUUAUCACAGCACCACUUGGUGUCACAAUUUCACCAGAAAGUCAAACUGUUGAUGUUGGAGCAAAAGCAGCCUUUAACUGUUCAGUCACAGGUUAUCCAGUUACUAACAUCACCUGGUUGAAAAAUGGAGUAGUUAAUCAGAAGUGGUUUAUAAGUUCUUCAAAGUUUGUGCUCACAGUUCAGAAUAUUAGUAAAGAUGAUCAAGGAAUGUACCAGUGUUUUGCAGAAAACAGCAUAGGAAGUGUGCAGGCAUCUUCAGAGCUUAAAUUGGGAUAUGCUGUUCCAGAACUUGUUGAAACAUUUUCCAAGAAACUUUUACAACCAGGACUCUCUGUAUAUUUGAAAUGUGUAGCAAAAGGAACACCUAAACCCCAAAUAUCUUGGUGUCUAGAUAAAGCACCAGUCAUUCAAACUGGAAGAGUAACUGUUGCAGAUUUUGUUAAUUUGAAUGGAGGAAUUGUGAGUUUUGUCAACAUUUCAAGUGUCAGAGUUGAAGAUGGGGGAGUUUAUGAAUGUUUAGCACAAAGUGUAGCAGGAACAGCAACAUACAGCAAUAGAAUUGAUGUUUAUGGCUUGCCAUUUGUUCGUCCAUUAAAAAAUAUUACAGUUGUUGCUAAAGAAACAAUGAGAACUCACUGCCAUGUUAUUGGAUAUCCUAUUGAUUUCAUUCACUGGGAAAAAGACAGCCAGCGUUUACCUUUCAACCAUAGACAAAAAGUAUAUAAUAAUGGAACCUUGGAAAUUGGAAACCUUGAUGAAAAAGAAGAUGAAGGCACAUAUACUUGUGUUGCUCGGAAUAACCAAAGUCAAAGUGCAAGAGCUCACUUUUAUGUAGAUGUCAAAGUUCCACCUCUCAUUGGACGGUUUGAGUUUGAUAAGAAUUUGCAUGAAGGAAUGAGAACUCGAGUUUAUUGCAACAUAGCACAAGGAGAUCAACCAAUCACUAUUUACUGGACUAAAGAUGGGUAUCCUAUCUCAACUGAUUUGGGAAUAUCUGUUCGAGUGAUUGAUAACUUUUCUGUUGCCCUUGUUAUUAAUAAGCUUGAACCAACUCAUAAUGGUAACUAUACCUGUUUUGCCACCAAUGAAGCAGCAACUGUUCAGUAUACAGCUCAACUAGUAGUUAAUGUACCUCCUUAUUGGAUGAUUGAACCAACUAAUAAAUAUGUUAUACUAAAUGAGCAUGGAAACUUAGACUGUUUUGCCAUGGGAUAUCCAACUCCUCAGAUUACCUGGAAAAGAGAUAAAGUUGGCAGUGGAACUGAUUAUAAACAAAUUCUGAGUGGACCAGACUACCAGAUAUUUGAGAAUGGUACUUUAAGAAUUGCCAGAACAAAACUUCAGGAUCGGGGACAUUACCUCUGCCAAGCUAACAAUGGAAUUGGACCUGGGCUAAGCAAGGUUGUUCAUGUUACUGUUCAUGUUCCAGCACAUUUUGAGAUGAAAGAAAAGACAGUGACUGUGAUAAGAGGAGAGAAAGCUAUGCUGUUAUGUGAAGCUAUUGGAGAUAAACCUAUGGCCAUUGUUUGGAAACAGAAUGAUCAUCUUCUUAACCCAAUGGCAAAAGAGAGGUAUGCUCUGAAUGAGAAACUAACAAGAAAUGGGUUGGUGUCUGAAAUUACCAUUACUGAUGUGCAGAGAAGUGACACUGGAAGCUUUGUCUGCCUUGUAACAAAUGCUUUUGGCCAAGAUUAUAUGAAACUGCAGUUGAUUGUACAAGAGCCCCCCAGUUCUCCCCAGGAGAUCAGAGUUCUAGAAACAAGAAGUAGGUCAACGACAAUACAAUGGGACACACCUUAUGAUGGAAAUAGUCCUCUCCUAUUCUACAUCAUUAUGCUCAAAAAUGAAUCAGGGCAGGGGAAUGAACACUUGUCAAAUAUAACAGUAAAAGCCACUGAGAACAAAAUAGUAAUAACAGGUCUACAUCCCUCAUUUACUUACAAUAUUUAUGUUUUAUCACAAAAUGCACUUGGAAGCAGUGAACCAUCAAAUACCAUUAAUAUUACAACAGAAGAGGAAGUACCUGGUGGACCACCAACAUUAGUCAAAGCCAAAGCACUUAAUGCAUCAUCUGUUAAAGUAUCCUGGGAGCCUCCUCCUAAGAAUGUUCAGAAUGGUAAAAUUAAGGGAUACUACAUUGGAUACAAAGUGCAUAAUUCCACAGAAUUGUACCACUACAAAAACCUUGAGGUUCACUCAGAAGGUACAACAGAUUGUAUAUUGUCUAAACUACAGAAGUUUACAAGAUACAGUGUUCUUGUUCAAGCAUACAAUUCUAUGGGGGCAGGCCCUCGAUCAGAUGAAGUUUCAGUAUUAACUGAAGAAGAUGUUCCAGACCAACCUCCACAUAGUGUUACAUGUUCUACAUUGUCUUCUCAGACUUUACAUGUAGAAUGGAGAACUCCCCCUGUAAAAUCAAUUAAUGGAGUUUUAGUUGGAUUCCGUGUCAUUUACAGGCCGAUCAUUAAAUGGGCAGAGAAUUUAGAAAGUCACAAAGUUGAAAUUGAAGAUUUAUUCAUAAAUCUUGUUGGAUUGGAAAUGUUUACAAAUUAUAGCAUUCAAGUGGCAGCAUACACUAGAAUUGGAAAUGGUGUUUUUAGUGGUCCUGUGUAUUGUAGAACACAUGAAGGAGUUCCAGGAGAACCAGAAAACAUUAAGGUAUUCAUUAUGGGUCAAAAUGCUAUUCUGGUUAGUUGGAAACCACCUUUAAAACCAAAUGGUGAAAUUCUAAAGUAUACAGUUUACAUGAGCACAGAAUAUGAAGAAAGAAAGAAUAUAUCUAAAAUUGUUGUGCCUUCAAAUCAACUGACAUUUGAAGCAAGAAACCUUAUUCGUGGACAGUGUUAUAAAUUCUGGGUGACUGCUUCAACAAGCAAGGGAGAAGGGAAUUCUAGUCAAGUUAUUGAACACAUUCCAGAUAAUAAAGCCCCAGCAAAAAUAGCUUCUUUUGGUAGCCAUUUUGUAGUUCAACAACAACAAGAUAUAGAAUUAGCAUGCAGGGCAGUUGGUCUUCCAACUCCCUCUAGAAAAUGGAAAUUUAGAGGGAAGCUGGUAAACCAAAGUAAAAGAGUGGAGAUACUUCCUACUGGAACCCUGAGGAUUGAGAAAGUUCAGCCAGAAGACAGUGGAAAUUAUUCAUGUAGUGUAUGGAACAUGAAUGGAUUUGAUGAGAUAAUCUAUUUUGUAAAUGUAGAAAUGAACCGGAAACUACCAUUCCUGCCUCCUCCUCCAGUUCUCUAUAUUGACUCCACAACUACGAAAUCAGUUACAGUUACUUGGAGAAAUAUCAAUUUGAAAGAAAACCCAAUUAUUGGAUAUACACUAUAUUACAAAAAGAAUGGAAAUUGGCUACAUGAUAAUAUUCCAGGAAAUACAACCAGAUUUACUGUUAGUGGACUGGAUUGUGGUUCACACUAUGAGAUUUACAUGGUCAGCUUCAACAAAGUUGGUCAAAGUGAAGCUGGCAAUAUUCUUCCAGUUGGAACAAAAGGUGGAGGACAAUUGGUCUAAUGGACCAGCUACCCAAAUCAACACAUUUCUUGUGCUACUGUUUUGCUUUUGGGAGGAUACAAGCUCUAAUGUAGGAGCAUGAGACGUCUCCUGGUUUUUUGGAGGUGACUGCAGGAAUAGGAUCCACAUAGCUAUGGGAAUACAUUGUCUAUUAAUCUUAAUCUCUGUUCACAAAGCCUCACAUGUAAAUACAAAAAAUAGUAAUAACAGAAGAA